GACGAAGGAUCCAAGCGUUAUCCGGAUUCAUUGGGCUUAAAGGGUGCGUAGGCGGCCCGGUAAGUCAGUGGUGAAAUCUCCUUGCUUAACAAGGAAACUGCCAUUGAUACUGCUGGGCUUGAGUACAGAUGCUGUGGGCGGAAUAUGACAUGUAGUGGUGAAAUACAUAGAGAUGUCAUAGAACACCGAUUGCGAAGGCAGCUCACAAAACUGUAACUGACGCUGAGGCACGAAAGUGCGGGGAUCAAACAGG
rnacentral:rRNA from 1 species